UACGUAGGGGGCGAGCGUUGUCCGGAUUUAUUGGGCGUAAAGAGCGCGUAGGCGGUACGUUAAGUCCGUGGUGAAAUCUCCCGGCUCAACUGGGAGGGUGCCGUGGAAACUGGCGUGCUGGAGGACGGCAGAGGAAGGUGGAAUUCCCGGUGUAGUGGUGAAAUGCGUAGAGAUCGGGAGGAACACCAGUGGCGAAAGCGGCCUUCUGGGCCGGUCCUGACGCUGAGGCGCGAAAGCGUGGGGAGCGAACCGG
rnacentral:rRNA from 1 species